rnacentral:rRNA from 1 species
GUAGGUGGCAAGCGUUGUCCGGAAUUAUUGGGCGUAAAGCGCGCGCAGGUGGUUUAAUAAGUCUGAUGUGAAAGCCCACGGCUCAACCGUGGAGGGUCAUUGGAAACUGUUAAACUUGAGUGCAGGAGAGAAAAGUGGAAUUCCUAGUGUAGCGGUGAAAUGCGUAGAGAUUAGGAGGAACACCAGUGGCGAAGGCGGCUUUUUGGCCUGUAACUGACACUGAGGCGCGAAAGCGUGGGGAGCAAACAGGAUUAGAUACCCUGGUAGUCCACGCCGUAAACGAUGAGUGCUAAGUGUUGGUCUCAUAAGAGAUCAGUGCUGCAGCUAACGCAUUAAGCACUCCGCCUGGGGAGUACGACCGCAAGGUUG